ensembl:lncRNA
GCUGGAGAUUCCUGCAUGCCUGAAGUCUCUAAUGAUUCUUUAACAAUGUAAAGGAGGUAUCUUUCAUCUGAUUCCUAAGUGAAUAAGAAACUUGAAGGAAACAGGAGGGUAGCAACAAGGCAUCUUCUUGAAUCUCUCAUUUUCCUGAACAAGUGCAAUGAUGAGAGAUCUUGUUGGACACAGAAGAGAAGAGAGACAAUAUUUGUCUGACUAGGCUGGGGAUUUUCAUUAUAUACAAGAGGUUGAAGAUGGAGGAGAGAAUUUCACCUGGAGCUCAGAUGACCGCAUUACUGAAGACAAUAAUUAUAUAUGUGUGUUUAUAUAUAUAUAUCAUACAUAUACAAAGAGAGAGAGUAUACAUUUCAACAUUUUUCACAGAAUUUAUGAAAACAUCACCAAGGAAAGAUUUCUAUUCUGGGACAUGGAACACCUUUGUUUGUACAAACACUGGUAGGAAUGGUCAUUUUGGUCAAAGCCCUGGGCUUUGUGAUCUUUAUUUGCUGCUCUCAAUUUUCUUGCUUAUUUUCACCUGUUCUUAUAACCUCCCAUGUGAUGUUCAGUUGAUUCUGUCAAGUCAAGCUCUUGUUUUUCAGAUCUUUGAAACACUCAACAUCAGUAAGUGGAUAGGGAAUGUAAUCUCUCUCCUGGGUUAAAUGGGAAAAGAUAGAGUUGCAGGAACAUGUAUUAACCUGUAGUGUACAUUCUUUGAUAGAUUACAAAACUAUUCACUGUAAGUAGUGCCUGACCAACAUCUGUAUUUUUAAAUUAAUAUUAGAAGAACAUCAGGUAGGGAAAUAGAGAAAGAUAAUUAUGCAGGACAAUUGGUUAAAUGCUUUUAGACCUAAGCUGCUAAAAGGCUUGGCUAAGUGAAAGGAAAGUAACCAUGAUAAAUAUUGGAAGGAAAUAAUACAGAAGUCAGGUAGACAAAGAAUGUGGUACAGUUGCACUAGACAUUUUUGGCGACAAUUCCAUGUAAAUCUUUCAAAUGAGUACAGGUACUUAAUAGGUAAUUAAAAAGACAGCCAAUGUAAAUGAAUUAAUAGCUGACUUAAAAUGCACUACCUGCUCUGUAAUUAAUAGGAAAUCAGAAAGGAAAUAAAUGCUUGCUUACAGCCUUAUUAGAUAUGAACGUUAUGUCCUACUCUGAAUUGAUUGGGAUGAUAAAAACUUCAGAGGAAAAUAUGGAAAGUGCAGCAAAAUACUUGCCAAAUCUCAGCAAAAUUUCAGUAAUGGGCAGUUAUGCUUAAAUAUUUCAGAAUACUUAUACAAGAUGACAUUCAGAAUGUUUGAUGUAAGCACUGGGAGAGAACUAUUGAGAACCUAUAGGAACUAGAACAGCAAUCAUGAAUGAAGUUCAUCAGUCAAAGGAGGAAUAUCUCAUGCAUUAUUCAACGAGCCUGGUAAUAAACAAACUGCUGCAUAACCUCAGAUGAGGCCUUUGGUGGCCCAGUGCUAUAAUGCUCCAUGACAUGUCCAUCUACAUACCAAAUUCUACUUUAUUUUUUUAUUCCCUGGCUUAGUGCUGGACUUACAUAUAACACUAAAGUUGGCAUUUGUGCUCUAACACUGGUGUUCAGCUCUGCUUUUCUCCUUGUAGGCAACAUUAACACAUAUCCAAAAGUUUUCAAAUACUGUUCUGCUUAGCCUAUAAACAAGUGAUGUUACAUUCUCCUUUUAGAUCCUCUUUUCUUCCAAAAAUUGUACCCCAUCAGACUGAGACACACCUGUAGUUAAUUAGUUACUAAAGUCCAGAGUGAUGUAUAAUACUAGAGAAAAGGCUGCUGUUAUAAUUUUUAAAAGCAAAACAUAGUUAAUAAAGAAUAUAUAUCAAGG